GGCAAGAUGGCCGAGCGGUCCAAGGCGCUGCACUCAAGUUGUUCAAACUUGUUCCUGACCACAGGAAUUGUAUUGCAGUCUCGAAAGGGGCGUGGGUUCAAAUCCCACUCUUGUCA